rnacentral:misc_RNA from 1 species
UGCAUAGAUGGAAAACCAGUUCCCUCAUUCUUUGAGACAGCAGAAGACCCUGUUGUGUUGAAGAUUGAAGAACUACCAUUAUUAGAAAGACCAAAACCAAAUGAAGGCUGGUCAUUUUUCUGCCCAAACAGAGAACCGGUACCAGUGCUCGAACCAAAGGUGAAUGUAGAAGUGGAAAACCCAGUUCCAGCAAGUCCUGUGAAAGCGUUUUGGCUACUUGAAAG